UUUUACCAUUAAUGUUUCAGUGUUCUAUCCAAUUCAAAAACGACCCAGAUACUCAGAUUUUUAUCAUUUAACUUAACUUGGCAAAACUCAAGAUUGUUACCAAAAAGAAUUUCAAAGCUGUUUUUUUCCCAAGUAUACAGACCAUAAAACAGUUAUUAUACCCACUUUUAUCUAUUUAAACCGUUUGUUUCCAACAAUUAUGUUCAGAUUACCUACAAAAACAUCACUUGAGACAUUAGACAAAACUGGUCAUCAUUUAAACCUAUUAUUUUGCUGACAAAUUUCUAACAGACAACGUGAACUUAUUUGACUAGUAAACCCAGGCUGCAUGCCUGCAUCGUAUGCAAAUACCGACAACUCUGACAACAAGACUAUUUUCAAUCAAACCAACAAACUUAAACAAGCUUUCAUUUACCAAAGGUUAAUUCACAUCGCGUUAACUUGAAAGACAUUGGAUUAAUUUCUACUACAUUUAGAAUUUAUGUAAGGGCUUACUUUAAGCCAAUUAAACAGAGCUCUUAAUUUUGGCAAUACCAUCGGGAGGUAAAAUAUCACACAUAUAACGUACACAUAGACACACGUACACAGAGACUACACAGCUAUUGUUUUCUUUUACCAAUAUUUGUGGAGAAGAUACUCAAGAUGCUAGAUUUUUUGCAAGGGCACGCUUAUGGCCGUUUUGCCUUUCCCCUCCUCUCUUUUUUCCUUUUUUUUUUUUUUUGCUUCAGUCUUAGGAAUUAGUGAUGGGGUUAGAUAGUAGUUCCUGGAGAGGGAAGAUGAUAAUCCUUUUUGUGAUAAAGGAACUAGGUGGAGUCCGAACUGCCUCUAGAGCUGUAUUUCCAGUCUUGCAAGGAUUUCCUAAGGACAGUUGGUCUUGAUUUCCCAGAAACUGGAUUGUAACUCAAACUACAUUCCAGGUUGAUCUACCUGUCCAACUGCAUCACAAAGACACAGAGAAACCCCUCAAGUUUUCUCCCAGAUGGAGUUAGAAUGCAUCCGCAGGGUGGGUCUCUGGGGAUGCUUAGGGGCCUUCCCUGUGGCAGUAAAGCCAGUGUCUGACAGACAGCAGCUGGAGAAAGGGUGCAGAGGCCGAUGGCGGGUGUUGACAUAGCUAUAAGAUUUAGUCAAGUCCCGCUCAGCCUGGGCACUUUGUCUCUGAGCCGGCACAGUUGAGGCAGGGAAGCAGGAGAAAAAGGCCUGGAACUGGCUGGAGGCACUCCCAGUGCCAAGGUUGAGAGUUAAGUCCCUGGCAAAAGGCUUAAGUUUUUUCGAUUUUACAAACGGUCCAGGUUCUGGUCAGGUUCAGCCUGAACUUAACCUAGACUUGGUGACAACAAAGGAGGUGAUGAAUGAAACAGACAAAGAAAGGUAAAGAAGAGAUCAGACCUCGCCCUCCUGGCCUCUUCCAGAGGGUUAUCAAGAUAAGAGUCACACAACAGUUCCCGUGCUGGGACACACUAUGCUAGCACGACAGUUCACAGAAUGACUCACAGGUCUCCUACCCUCAUAACCGACUCAGUAGGUGACUAAAAUAAUGAGUCAACCGUCAAGAGAGGGCACCCCCACUUAGGGUUGCUGGGGUGAUCAGGCCGAAUUGACGAGUAGGAUCUUAACAGUGACUCAACCAAAGCUUAACCAAGGACAAAGAGAGCCAAGCUCUCAAGACAAACUUUCCCAGAGCCCCAGUCUAUGUGACCGGCCGCCAAGAUACGUGCCGGUACAUGCAUCCUCUGAUGGCGGAGACCAGAAAGGUCACAAAAACAAGCUCUCAAGACAUAGAACAAGACAAAAAGCCCAGACAACAGGCUUAUAGAGAUGCCUGUGUCUUAUGACAAACAAAAAGACAGAGACAAGGAAAAGUCUAUCUCUGGGAGGAAAAGGAUCUAAAACCAGUGAGUACUCAAAUCGUAUAGUUGCUGAAUCCGAGAAGCUAGCCUCACCAACAUUUUCUCCUGCUAAUCUAAAUUUAGAAGAGCAAAAAAAACCUCACCAUUCUUGCUUCCAUUGGAGCCUGCAGGCAGAGAUCCGGGAGACUGACGUGGUAAGAACUCUCACCUCUUGCCGGCUCUCGUCAGGGGUCCGGGAUCUCUUGGCCGCAGCAGUCCAGGAGCAGCAGUUACCAGCCAGUGAAAU
rnacentral:lncRNA from 1 species